rnacentral:tRNA from 1 species
UCCUGGUUAGCUCGUAUGGUAGAGCGCUCCACAGGGAAUGGAGUGGUUCCUGGUUCGAUACCAGGACAAGGCG